AGUAAAUUUUAUGGUCAAGCUACUAAGGGCACACGGUGGAUGCCUUGGCACUUCGAGGCGAUGAAGGACGUGGCAAGCUGCGAAAAGCUGCGGUGAGGAGCAAGCAUCCUUUGACCCGCAGAUCUCCGAAUGGGGGAACCCAUCCCGAUGAACUCGGGAUACCGCCGCCUGAAUAAAAUAGGGCGGAGGGAGCAAACCUGGGGAAGUGAACCAUCUCAGUACCCAGAGGAAGAGAAAACAAUAGUGAUUCCGCUAGUAGCGGCGAGCGAACGCGGAACAGCCUAAACCACAGGGGCAUGCCCUUGUGGGGUCGUGGGAUCAGACAUUGUGGAGUUACAAAAGUUGAGGUUAGCGGAACGGUUUGGAAAGGCCGACCAGAGAACGUGAUAGUCGUGUACGCGAAAACUUACAACUCUCCCGUCUGACACCCGAGUAAUGCGGGACACGAGGAAUCCUGCAUGAAUUCGCCGGGACCAUCCGGUAAGGCUAAAUACUCCGAAGUGACCGAUAGUGAACCAGUACCGUGAGGGAAAGGUGAAAAGAACCCCGGUGAGGGGAGUGAAAUAGUACCUGAAACCGUGUGCUUACAAGCAGUGGGAGGUCAAGGUUCGUCCUGACUGACCGCGUGCCUUUUGCAUAAUGAGCCGGCUAGUGAAUGUCACAGGCAAGGUUAAACGAUAAGUGAGCCGAAGCGAAAGCGAGUCCUAAUAGGGCGUCUAGUCUGUGGUAUUCGGACGUGAAGCGAGAUGAUCUAUGCAUGGCCAGGCUGAAGCGUGGGUAACACCACGUGGAGGGCCGAACCAGUUUGGGUUGAAAACCAUUUGGAUGAGCUGUGCAUAGGGGUGAAAGGCUAAUCAAAUUUCGUGAUAGCUCGUUCUCGCCGAAAUAGCUUUAGGGCUAGCCUCGGAUGAAUCGUCGCGGUGGUAGAGCACUGAAUGGGCUAGGGGCCUCACAAGGUUACCGAACCCAAUCAAACUUCGAAUGCCGUGCACGUAUAUCCGGGAGUCAGACUACGGGGGCUAAGCUCCGUGGUCGAGAGGGAAACAGCCCAGACCGACAACUAAGGUCCCUAAAUCGUAGUUAAGUGGAAAAGGAAGUAGGGAAGCACUGACAGCCAGGAGGUUGGCUUAGAAGCAGCCAUCCUUUAAAGAAAGCGUAAUAGCUCACUGGUCAAGCAGCCCUGCGCCGACAAUAUAACGGGGCUCAAACCACGUACCGAAGUUUCGGAUUGCUGAAUUGCGAAUUGCGAAUUUCGAAAUGCGAAUUUGAAGAAUCAUACUGCUUUCAAAUUCCAAACUCGAAAUUCGAAAUUCGCAAUUCAGUGAUGGUAGGCGAGCAUUCCGUAGCUGUGAAGCGGUACCGUAAGGGCCGUUGGAGCGAUCGGAAAAGACUCUGUCGGCAUAAGUAGCGAUAACGCGGGUGAGAACCCCGCGCGCCGUAAACCUAAGGUUUCCUGAGUAAAGUUAAUCUGCUCAGGGUUAGUCGGUACCUAAGGCGAGGCCGAAAGGCGUAGUCGAUGGAAAUCCGGUUAAUAUUCCGGAACCACUAACGUGUGCUGUGGGAGGACGCAGUAGGGUAGGCGAGACGGCGUAUGGAUGUGCCGUUGAACUCACCAUAGCCCGCCGACCAGGCAAAUCCGGUCGGCAUCAGGGUAAAGGUAGGGACGAAAGUAGGGGUAAAACCCGAAAAAAGUCGCUGACCCCAGCUGCCAAGAAAAUUCUCGUUCAGCUAUACACGCGAUGUGACCGUACCGCAAACCGACACAGGUAGGUGGGGUGAGAAUCCUAAGGCGCUUGUGAGAACUCUCGUUCAGGAACUCGGCAAACUGACCCCGUAACUUCGGGAGAAGGGGUGCCGUCCUCCGGGACGGUCGCAGAGAAAUGUCCCAGGCGACUGUUUACUAAAAACACAGGUCUCCGCAAAGUCGUGAAGACGACGUAUGGGGGCUGACGCCUGCCCAAUGCUGGAAGGUUAAGAGGAGCGGUUAGCCGCAAGGCGAAGCUGCGAAUCGAAGCCCCAGUGAAUGGCGGCCGUAACUAUAACAGUCCUAAGGUAGCGAAAUUCCUUGUCGGGUAAGUUCCGACCUGCACGAAUGGCGUAACGAUCUGGGAGCUGUCUUAACGAGAGACACAGCGAACUUGUAGUACCGGUGAAGAUGCCGGUUACCCGCAUCUAGACGGAAAGACCCCGUGCACCUUUACUACAACUUGAUAGUGGGUUCGGGCAAACGAUGCGCAGGAUAGGUGGGAGGCUUUGAACCGAGGCUUUUGGGCUUCGGGGAGCCAACGGUGAGAUACCACCCUUCGUUUGUCUGGACUCUAACCUAGCGCCGUAAUCCGGUGCAGGGACACUAUCAGGCGGGUAGUUUGACUGGGGCGGUCGCCUCCCAAAGAGUAACGGAGGCGCUCGAAGGUUGGCUCAGGCUGUUUGGAAAUCAGCCGUAGAGUGUAAACGCAUAAGCCAGCUUGACUGUGAGACAAACAAGUCGAACAGGUACGAAAGUAGGAGUUAGUGAUCCGGCGGUUCUGUAUGGAAGGGCCGUCGCUCAACGGAUAAAAGGUACGCCGGGGAUAACAGGCUGAUC
rnacentral:rRNA from 1 species